rnacentral:rRNA from 1 species
UGGGGAAUAUUGGACAAUGGGCGCAAGCCUGAUCCAGCCAUGCCGCGUGAGUGAUGAAGGCCCUUGGGUUGUAAAGCUCUUUUACCGGUGAAGAUAUUGACGGUAACCGGAGAAGAAGCCCCGGCUAACUUCGUGCCAGCAGCCGCGGUAAUACGAAGGGGGUUAGCGUUGUUCGGAUUUACUGGGCGUAAAGCGGACGUAGGCGGACUUUUAAGUCAGGGGUGAAUUCCUGGGGCUCAACCCCGGAAUUGGCUUUGAUACUGGAAGUCUUGAGUAUGGUAGAGGUGAGUGGAAUUCCGAGUGUAGAGGUGAAAUUCGUAGAUAUUCGGAGAAACACCAGUGGCGAAGGCGGCUGACUGGACCAUUAAUGAAGCUGAGGUGGGAAAGCGUGGGGGGCAAACAGG